GAUAUGUGUGCAGCAAAGGGGAGCUUCAUGUGCAAGGAAGCAUAGAAGAUGUGAGACUGUUUUGUUUUGAACGAGAAGGUCCAACGGAUACACCAACAAAUUCAGUUUGAACUUUGAAUAAAUAUGAUAUGCGUGUUUACAAAUCUUCUCUUGUGCUUGGAAACCUUAAGAUUGUUCUAUUAUUGUGAGAUUUUUUUGUGUCAUGGUCAAGAAAUACUUGUUGUUAUAUUUUGGAUAUAAAAAAUUGCUGGUAAGAAU
rnacentral:lncRNA from 1 species